rnacentral:rRNA from 1 species
CAUGCAAGUCGAGCGGAUGAGAGGAGCUUGCUCCUUGAUUUAGCGGCGGACGGGUGAGUAAUGCCUAGGAAUCUGCCUGGUAGUGGGGGAUAACGUCCGGAAACGGGCGCUAAUACCGCAUACGUCCUACGGGAGAAAGCAGGGGACCUUCGGGCCUUGCGCUAUCAGAUGAGCCUAGGUCGGAUUAGCUAGUUGGUGAGGUAAUGGCUCACCAAGGCGACGAUCCGUAACUGGUCUGAGAGGAUGAUCAGUCACACUGGAACUGAGACACGGUCCAGACUCCUACGGGAGGCAGCAGUGGGGAAUAUUGGACAAUGGGCGAAAGCCUGAUCCAGCCAUGCCGCGUGUGUGAAGAAGGUCUUCGGAUUGUAAAGCACUUUAAGUUGGGAGGAAGGGCAUUAACCUAAUACGUUAGUGUUUUGACGUUACCGACAGAAUAAGCACCGGCUAACUUCGUGCCAGCAGCCGCGGUAAUACGAAGGGUGCAAGCGUUAAUCGGAAUUACUGGGCGUAAAGCGCGCGUAGGUGGUUCGUUAAGUUGGAUGUGAAAGCCCCGGGCUCAACCUGGGAACUGCAUCCAAAACUGGCGAGCUAGAGUACGGUAGAGGGUGGUGGAAUUUCCUGUGUAGCGGUGAAAUGCGUAGAUAUAGGAAGGAACACCAGUGGCGAAGGCGACCACCUGGACUGAUACUGACACUGAGGUGCGAAAGCGUGGGGAGCAAACAGGAUUAGAUACCCUGGUAGUCCACGCCGUAAACGAUGUCAACUAGCCGUUGGGUUCCUUGAGAACUUAGUGGCGCAGCUAACGCAUUAAGUGCCGCCUGA